AACGAAAACGCGAAAAUAACACUGGCAAUCGUUGUCCGUACGAUUUUUCCUCCCGAUCUCCGGAUCACGCCGGCCGGCCGGAGAAUCGCGUUACGUUAGCGCACAGGUUUAUCGUUGUGCGCGCAGUUUCAAACCGAAUUACCGUCGUGUUAUCCGGUUCUCCGUUCCCACUCGCAUUCUUAAAUACCCAUCGGGGCAGUGUCGGCCUUUGUGUCUUCUUAUCCGUACACUCGUUUUUGAUAAAGAUAUAAGAAACGUUUACGCUGUUGUCACGACGUUUUCGUUGUUUACUUAAAAAAAAAAAAAAAAAAAAAAAAAAAAAUGUAGGUUUCGGGAAAUGAUUGAAUUUAUUUAUCAAAGUGAAUUUUUCGCGUAAUAAAAUGUUGAUUUUGCCAUCACCGAAUAACAUAUUCAUGCUCGGUACUCGAUACGCGAGACUCUCCGAUUGGUUUUAUGUGUGUUCCGUAUGUAAUAAUAAUAAUAAUAAAAAAAAAAAAAUCAAAUCAAAUCACAAUGUAAUGUUCGACGUAUCCGUUGAAUUUCUAUUGAUCAUCAAUCAAAUCCAUUCGAUGCGUAAUAAUUGUUUAUUCAACAGAUAUUCGAAAUUCUGUAUCGUCGCUCGGCAUCGCGGGAUUUAAUUGAAAAUAAACCGUUUUCCAUAUGCGCGGUCGUUGAAUUAUUUAAAUGGUCCGCUAUUUCGAAAAAAAAAAAAAAAACGGCGAAACGGACCGAAAUGUAAUUGACAAUAAUACUCGAAAUAUCGUCAAAAUUACGGCGCGUAUGUUAACGUAUGCUGUUUUAUGGGCAGAGGCGGAACGGGUACUAAUUUCAGGCCGGGCGAUUGAAAUUUAUCCGGGCCGCCCGAAUACAAAAUUUAUACGCGCCGAUCGAACACGCCGCGUUUUAAUUCGAUCCCGCAAAACAGCGUAAAAUAUUUUUUUCAUAACCUAGUUCACAAUUCAUUUGUAACGAUUCCCCCACGGCCGUUCACCGGUUCUCCGCGCCUCGGGUCCAUCUCAACUCUAUAGCUAAUCGAAGAACGGACAAAUGACGUCAUGUCCC